UCCUAGUUAGCUCAGUUGGUAGAGCGCUACACUGGAAACAGAGAGGUCCCUGGUUCGAUACCAGAACCAGGCA
rnacentral:tRNA from 1 species